AACGUAGGGUGCAAGCGUUGUCCGGAAUUACUGGGUGUAAAGGGAGCGCAGGCGGAUCGGCAAGUUGGAAGUGAAAACUAUGGGCUCAACCCAUAAAUUGCUUUCAAAACUGCUGGCCUUGAGUAGUGCAGAGGUAGGUGGAAUUCCCGGUGUAGCGGUGGAAUGCGUAGAUAUCGGGAGGAACACCAGUGGCGAAGGCGACCUACUGGGCACCAACUGACGCUGAGGCUCGAAAGCAUGGGUAGCAAACAGG
rnacentral:rRNA from 1 species